rnacentral:rRNA from 1 species
UGCCAGCAGCCGCGGUAAUACAGAGGGUGCAAGCGUUAAUCGGAAUUACUGGGCGUAAAGCGAGCGUAGGUGGCAAUAUAAGUCAGAUGUGAAAUCCCCGGGCUUAACCUGGGAACUGCAUCUGAAACUGUAUAGCUAGAGUAGGUGAGAGGGAGGUAGAAUUUCAGGUGUAGCGGUGAAAUGCGUAGAGAUCUGAAGGAAUACCGAUGGCGAAGGCAGCCUCCUGGCAUCAUACUGACACUGAGGUUCGAAAGCGUGGGUAGCAAACAGGAUUAGAUA